GAACGCUGGCGGCGUGCUUAACACCUGCAAGUCGAACGGAAAGGCCUCUUUCGGGGGGUACUCGAGUGGCGAACGGGUGAGUAACACGUGAGUAACCUGCCCUUGACUUUGGGAUAACUUCAGGAAACUGGGGCUAAUACCGGAUAGGAGCUCCUGCUGCAUGGUGGGGGUUGGAAAGUUUCGGCGGUUGGGGAUGGACUCGCGGCUUAUCAGCUUGUUGGUGGGGUAGUGGCUUACCAAGGCUUUGACGGGUAGCCGGCCUGAGAGGGUGACCGGCCACAUUGGGACUGAGAUACGGCCCAGACUCCUACGGGAGGCAGCAGUGGGGAAUAUUGCACAAUGGGUGGAAGCCUGAUGCAGCAACGCCGUGUGCGGGAGGACGGCCUUCGGGUUGUAAACCGCUUUCGCUCAUGACGAAGCUUUGUGUGACGGUAGUGGGUAAAGAAGCACCGGCUAACUACGUG
rnacentral:rRNA from 1 species